UGGCUUUUGGUCAUGGUGUUUAUCUCAGCAGGAGAAAAACUAAGACACUAGACAGAGUUACAUGCAUAUAUAUGCACAUAUUGGCAUAUAUAUGCAUGUUCAUGUGUAUGUACUUUCCAGGUAUGGUCACACAUCAGUGCAUCUAUGCAUGUUCAUAUAUAUGGUCAUAUGUCAGUGUAUAUGUGUGUUUUCAUGUGUAUGCAAUUCCUAUUAUUAUAUGUCAAUGCAUAAGGACAUGUCCAUAUGUGGGCAGUUUCUCAUCAUGGUCACGUGUCAGUACAGAUGCAUGUUUUCUCAUGUUUACAGUUACUGAGCAUGAACAUAUACAGACACAUGCACUUUCCAAGCAUGGUCAUAUAUGAGAGUAUUCUCAUGUGUGCAUGUGAGAGUAUUCUCAUGUGUUCUGUUCCUGUUUGUGGUAAUGUACGUGAAUAUGCGUAUGUUGCAAGGCAUAAAGGUAAAAUGCAUUAAUAGUUUUUUAUUCUUAACCCAAUUUAAAUUAUUUGUUAAAGACUUGAGGCAUAACAUAUACCUGCUUCUGCCUCCACUCCUGGCAUAAGCAUUUCCUUCUUUGAAUGUCUGUGAGGCAUCAAAAGUAGGGUAAAAUAUCCAGAGCAGGAUGAAGUUUGGCAUUUAUGACUCAGAUGAUUAUUUUUAAAUAUAUCAUUAUGAUGUAACACAUUAAGAUUAUCUGUAAACUCUUAAAAUGCCUUGGUCAGCCUUAAAGUAUUUUUUGUUUGUUUAUUUUUGCUGCCACAUGGAAGAAUGAUUUAUUAGAACAAAUUUCAUGACAAAUCAUAUAAAAUAACUAUUUUCAGAAAGACAUCCACAAGACCACCUGAGAACAAUGUACAGCGAUACCUUCCAGAAGCCAGGCAAUUAGGAUACCAGCGCCAGGUCGAAGGCUGGAGGGACAACGGAACUAAAUUCCUUCCCCCACCUCCCUGCUCCCCAGAUCCAGGUCUUCCGUCUUCCCCCAGAAAAGACUAGGCCUCCCAGGGACAUCAACCGAACGUGGCGCAAUAAGAUACGAUAAAACCAGUACAUCAAAGCUGGGCAAGGCAACCCAGUAGGAGGAAAAGGAUCCCGAGAGCAGACAGAAGAGUCAGAGACACCACCGCUCCCACAAAACCUACUAAGUGUUUGACUGUGGGUCUCUGCAUUUGCUCCCUUCAGUUGCUGGGUGAAGCCUCUCUGAUGACAACUGAACUAUGAACCAAUCUGAUCUCACCAUUUGUUGAAGAGGCCGUCUUUGUCCAGGGUGUUUCUGGCAUCUUUGUUGUAAUGGAGAUGUGACAGCUGUCUAGGGGAUUGAUGAAUUUGCUCCCUGACACGAACAAAGAAUUGAAUGACUAGGAAGACAGAAGACACAGCUUUUUCCUGUCAAGAUGGGAGAAGUCUAAAGCUGGAAGUCCAUUAAACAGAGGCUGACUUGGACACAGGACUUAGAGGAUUUGAGCUGAAGCUGACCUGAAAGCCUCUUCCCUGAGGACUAGCUUUUCCAGUAAUGGAAGGCGCUGUACAAGCUGCUGGAAGAGGGAAGCCGUCAACUGUCCUACCAGUCUGUGAGGCCUAUGACCAAAGCAUGAGCAGCAUUGAUAUGUGUAGCUCUCACCCCUCAUCAAAGACGCUUCCCUUUGCAAAUGACAGAGACAAUCCAGAAAACCCCAAGUGGUCACAGUGCAGAGAACAAGUGAUGGUAGGUGCUAACCUGAACUGAUCCAUCUACCUAAAACCCCCAACUCUAAAGUUCAUGGAACAUCAGAGAGGGCACGGAAAUUUCAAGAGCCUGAGGACAGGGUUGAAGUGUGCAUCUUGACUGUCUCUUGAGAGCGUGUUGGCAUUAGGAAAGGUAUGAUCAUCGGUCUCUGCAAGGCUCGAAAUAUCUAACAGAGAUAGUGCCUACAGAAAGCAGGUAUGCUCUGCGCUGGCUGCUUACUGUUGCUGCCCUUUGUCUACAUGGAUCUCGUGAUGUGGACAUGGAGUCAUAGGGCUAGAGUGGGGUAUGUUCGUGUUUUUGAGGUGAGUAAGGACAUGUCUUCAGUCUAGCACAAAAUAGCCCAUUGAGCAGCACGUGACAGUGAGAAGGUUGAGGUCAGUGCUUACCUUUGUUGAGCUGUGCAUCCUUCCUCAUCCCAUGUGUGGAACCGGAGUCAGGUCACUAUGGGGGAGCAGGUAUCCAGAAAAUAGGGUUUGCUGAGCUAAUUCUGGGCAGUUGAAAGUGCCACAUUAUUGCUGCAAUGAGUGGAGACUUUGGGGCAGCGGAGUGUGGCUUUCUGUCUGCUUUCAGCUCUCUCUUCCAGGUGAUCCUGCUUUUUUGCUGCGGUACCAGCAAGAGUGAAGAAGGAGGUUAAUGUCUGGCCUUUCAGUGGAACAGAUUGGAAGCAAUAGAGAUACAGCAAUCUAAAACAUUAGAAGACACUUUCUGAGAGCAAUCUUAGGUUAUUCUUAAAGAUACUCACUAGAAAAUUCAUUGGUGUACAUUUCUAUUUGACUUAUUUUGCUGCUGUAAUUAAGAAAAGUUUCUAACAACAGGUAUACAGUGAUGUCAAACAGAAACCCCUUUUGAUAUUACCAAACGAAAGUCAAAAAAUGCUCCUCCUUCACCUGGCCUUCUUGAUUCCCUUUGGUGUGUUCCACCCUAGAGUAACAUGGCACCAGACAGACAGUUCCUUGGCAUCCAGGAAUUUUAUGUUCUAUUAUGUGUGUGUGUGUGUGUGUGUGUGUGUGUCUAUUUAUAGAUCUGUAUACAAUUGGUGGGAAUUUUAUACAUAGCUACAAUGAAAGAUAAUUAUGUGUGAUCCUCAGUUUCCUUCUCCAACUUCUGUCAUGUUUCCCCAGCCCCCAGCACGCCCCCUCUUAAUUUCAUGUCUUCUUUUUUGUAACCCUCUCAGCCCAGUUAUUGCUCCCUAAAGGAAACCUAGCAGUAAAAACCCUCAAAAAGCAACGAUUCUCCCUCUCCCCGCAGCUGUUGGCUGUCAAUAGCAUUUCUUCUUUAAGGAGAGAAUCCAGAAGAGCACCCCUCUCUGAGUGUGGGCUGACUUGAUCUUUUGCAGGUACACACAGCUUAUGUCAGUUCAUGACUCUGGUCACCACGUCAUGUCCAGAAGACAGCAUGUUUUGCAGUGGCAGCAGUCAAUGAGGAGAUGCAAGAUCGGUCAGAGUGCUCAGAGGAAGACUUCUCUGUUUCAGAGAGGUGGUGAGAUGCAGUUUGGUUCCUGCCUCCAGGUUCCUGCCUUGACUCCAUGGAUGGUAGACUACAAGCUAAGAAGAAGGAAACGAUUUCCUCCUCCCAGGUCACUCUUGGUCAUGGUGUUUUAUCACAGCAGUGCAGACCUGCGGCUCCACACAGAGACUGCUACAGAAAACAACAACCCAUCAAGCUGCGGAGUUGCAGAGCCCGUCCCAAUGGAUACAUCUGCAAAACAACUGCACCUAAGGCUCUGGGAAGAUUUUAGAAUAGGAGGCAGAAAGACUCCGAGAACUAGAGGAUCAGGGAACAAGCUGUGAGGCUCUGUCUCCUAGUAAUACCACGAGUUACCCAUAAUGUGUCAGCAGUGUGACUCCCCAAACAUAAGCUGAACAAGGACAAAAACAGACAUGCCCAAAUGGACAGGGAAAGCCCGCUAGGCCUCAGCCCUAUACAAAGAACAAUGAGGCAACUAAGGAAUACUGAGAGCUGAAGAAACAGUCUUCUCCAGAGAAGAGCAUACCAAUUGUUUGUCCCAUACCAAAUGAUCAGUCCUGGAAGCAUACAUACAAGUAACAUGAUAAACACUGUAGGGCUAUAUUUAGAAGUAGAUAUGUAUAUACAUCAACACAUACACAUAUGCGUGAAACCAGUUCAUGAAAAAAAGGCCAUAAAUUUGAAAGAGAACAAGGAGGGGUAUAUGUGCGUCUUUAGAGGGAGGAAAAGAAAGGGAGGAAAGGUGGAAUUAUAAUGACAAAAAGAAAACAAAGCUUUAGCUGGGUGAUGGUGGCGCACACCUUUAAUCCCAGCACUCGGGAGGCAGAGACAGGUGGAUCUCUGUGAGUUCGAGACCAGCCUGGUCUACAGAGCUAGUUCCAGGACAGGCUCCAAAGCCACAGAGAAACCCUGUCUCGAAAAAAACCAAAAAAAAAAAAAACAAAGCUUUAGUUACCUUCUAAAUUUAGGAAGUUUCUGCGUGGCUGUUGCCUCUAUCCUAAGUUUCGGUUGACCUUCUUCUUAACCACAUUGCCCCUGACACCGUCCCUGUUUAAGCCUUUCUAGUCCUUGUGUUCCCCCAAUGGCACUUCCAUGUCACAAGCAUUUUACUGCCCCUUCCCUCAAGACCGACUCUUGCUUCCUGACUUCUACAGACAGUAACUCCUAUUUAAACACAGAAGUAUAAAACUGUGAGAGAGAACACAUGUGGCGGCUGCAGCCAUUGUGACAAAGAUGCUCAAACAGACAUUAGAGAACAGGCAGGCAUCCUGAUGACGUAUAGUUCUGGGGACACUAGAUAGACACAUGUAGAUUACAACUGGAUUCCUAUCAUUUAUCCGAAAGAAAAAUCAGUUCUAAAGGGAUCGAAGUACUUAAUAACAAACCUGAAAUUCUGAACAUGUCAGAGGAAGGUAGAGGGAAAAUAACCACAACAGAGGGUACAGCCAAGAACUUUCUUAAAAGGUUCAAUAGCUCAGGAAAUGUUCUACAUAUUUGGCGGGUGGCGUUAGAUUAAUUAACAGCUUUCUCCACAGCAAAAGCAAGCAUACUGCCGGAGUGAAGACACAGCAUUCUGAAUGGGUGAAAAAUAUUUGCUACAUAUCCAGCAGGCGAAAAAUUAAUGAAUACGCAGAUAAUCCUACCAACUACAAAAGAACCAAACAACGUAAAAAUGAGUCACUAAAGCAAACACAUUUCUCAUGCAUAAUAUAUGACCAGCAUAUAAAAAAGAGGAGAUUGAUAGGGCAGAAUAAAGGGACCAGGAGGAGGGGAGAGAACGUGGAUGAGGAGAGAAGUCAGUGUAUGCGGCUUCGAAAUGGUUAAGGCACACUUGAUAUUUGAGCAUAGAGUGCAUCAGACUCCUUGCUGUUUUCAGUGUGUGCACAGCAAUUUAAAAUGCAUGAACAGGUCUGUCUCCCCUCCUGAGAUCAUGUGGGUGUCCAAGAGCCACGCUGCAGCAGGUUAAGAUGACCUGGGAACGAGCUGCUGGAGACGGCAAUGUCUAGGUCCACGAUCGUGCUGUAGCCAAGGUCUGUGUGAAUGCCCAUGGCUCAUGUUGUCCCCAAAGGUAGCACGGAUACAGGUCUGGGUUGCCAUCUCCAGUCAUGUUGGUGCCUGAGGGCCCUGCUGCCUCUGAUUCCAUGCGCGUCUGCGUGACCUAAGCUUGCUAAAGAAGGACAUGAUGACAUCUGGGUCUCAGCUGCACCUGGGGGACAGGUCUGGGUCUGUGGGCCUGCAAAAACCAGGGUGUGUGUUGACGUCCUGGGUGGCUCCAGUUGUGACUGAAGUCCACGCAGGUGCCUGGGGUACAGGCCACCACCUGAGGGCAUGAUGCUGUCUGCAGACCAUGCUGCAGGUAGGCCAUACAGAUCUGAGUGGGCUGCCCAGCUACCAAGUGUCAUGGUGACAUCUGUGUCAGGGCUGCAGCUGAGGGCUAUGUGAGUCCAUGGUCCUGCUGCAGCUGGUGUCUGUGUUGCUAUCUGUGGCCUGUGUUACCACAGGGGGCCAUGAGAACCAUGCACCAUGAAAUCCAAAGGCGAGGCUAAGCCGGCCCUGCCAUUCUCUAGCCCCUGGGAAAGCUGACUCUGCCCCUUGCUGGACACUGCAGCAAGACAGCUGGCCCCAAUGACCUGGGAACUGGUGAGCUGCCCCUGCACUUGGGAGAGGUAGCCCAACACUUCCUGGCCCUGAUGGCAUGGGCAUAGGAGAGCUGGCUCUGUCCCACACCUGAGUGGGGCAGCCCUAGCGCCCAGGUCUGACAAGCUCAACUACAACUGGGGCCCAUUCAGGGCCUUAGGUUGGCCCACCCUACAUCUGCCCAAGCUAUGACCUGCUAGACCACAUGAAGGAACUGGUCCUGUGGAAGUAGAGUCAUCUCCAUGACUCGCGGUGCCCUCCGGAUUACUGAGAGGCGUUUCAGAGAGGGUCUAGUGAUGAUGAUAGACCAGAAACCAGAGGCCUUGAACCAGACCAUCGCAAUGAACAUUGCACAUAAAGCUGAUAGGACAAAAGGGGAUAUGUUCUGCCUAUGUGACACACCUUGGCUCCCAAUGUUACUAAGACAAUUGUAGAGGUGUUGGAGAGGCAGGAAGUACAGAGACAAAGUCUCUCUUUUUUUUUUAGUUACUUAUUUCUUUGUUCCAACCUCAGUUUCCCCUCCCUCCUCUCCUCUAAGGCCCUCCCCGAUCGCACCACCUCCCCUCUACCUCCUCCCCAUUCACCUCUUCUCCUUUCAACAAACCAUGGCAUAUUAAGUUGCAAUAAGAUUAAGCACCUCCUUAUGUAUUAAGGCUGGGCAAGGUGACCCAGUAUGAGGAGUAGGGUCCCAAAGGGAGCAAGAUUCAGAGACAGCCCCUGCUUCUACUGUUAGAAGAGCCACAAGAGAACCAAGCUACACAACUGUCACACAUGCAGAGGGCCCAGGUCAGUCCCAUGCAGGCUGCCUGGUUGUCGGUUCAGUGUCUGUGAGUUCCUAUGAGCCAGGUUCGCUGUUUCCGUGUGUUGUGUGGUCCUUGAGUCAUGUGACUCCUCCAGUCCUUCCGUUCUCUCUUCAGUUGGAUUCCCUGGGAUCAGCCUAAGGUUUGACAGUGGAUCUCUGCAUCUGUCUCCAGAAGUUGCUGGAUGAAGCCCCUCGUAGGACUUUUGAUCCAGCACCAAUCUAGGAGUAGAGCAGAAUAUCAUUAGUUCCCGUAUAUACACAGGGGCAAGCAUUCAUACACAAAAAUAAAAAGCAUCAUUACACUGACAUGUUUCGCUGGGGGCGGGGGGGGGAAUUUGUCCAGUGGUGUUUGGGUCAAUCCUAGGGCCCUGGGAUAUCCAGCCCCUGAAUUCUAGGACAGUGUCGGGUGGGCUCACUCUCGUGGAAUUGUUCGGUUUGGUUUUCAUUUAUUCAAAUUUUCUUUUUGGUGGGGGAUGCUAACAGGGUGAAGGGCAGAUAUGGGGGGACUGGGAAAUGAGUGGAAUUGGGUGGAAGAUGGGACAUUGCCAAAGGAUCAAUAAGGAAAUCACCUGUUCAAAUAUCCAACAAACAAACUCUGGGCACGGCCCUCAACGUGACCCCAGGAGGUACAAUAUCAGUAAAACACAAUGGUGAGAACUACGUUUUAAAACAUGGGAGAAUAUCAUCUGUAGACGUGACUCAGAGGUUGAGGGUCCUUUAUCUCUUGCAUAGGUUUUAUUCCCAGCAUCGCAAGACAGUUCACAGUCAUCUGUAACUCCAGCUCCAGGGUAUCUGACCUCCUCUUCUGGCCUCUGAUGCUACAGGCACUUAUGAGUUCACAUAUAAACACAGGGGCAAGCAUUCAUACA